GUCCAGGUGGAGGAUGACAAUGUGCUGUUGAUCAGCGGAAAGAGGAAGCGUGAGGAGGAGAAGGAAGGGGCUAAGUAUGCGAGGAUGGAAAGGAGGGUUCGCAAGUUUAUGAGGAGGUUUAAACUGCCUGAAAAUGUUAAUACUGAUGCUAUUUCGGCGGUCUACCAGGAUGGGGUUUUGACGGUCAGUGUGGAAAAAGUGCCACCGCCGGAGCCCAAGAAGC
rnacentral:misc_RNA from 1 species